AUUGAACGCUGGCGGCAUGCUUUACACAUGCAAGUCGAACGGUAACAGGCCGCAAGGUGCUGACGAGUGGCGCACGGGUGAGUAAUGCAUCGGAACGUACCCAGUCGUGGGGGAUAACUACUCGAAAGAGUAGCUAAUACCGCAUACGAUCUAUGGAUGAAAGCGGGGGACCGUAAGGCCUCGCGCGAUUGGAGCGGCCGAUGUCAGAUUAGGUAGUUGGUGGGGUAAAGGCGCACCAAGCCAACGAUCUGUAGCUGGUCUGAGAGGACGACCAGCCACACUGGGACUGAGACACGGCCCAGACUCCUACGGGAGGCAGCAGUGGGGAAUUUUGGACAAUGGGCGCAAGCCUGAUCCAGCAAUGCCGCGUGCAGGAAGAAGGCCUUCGGGUUGUAAACUGCUUUUGUACGGAACGAAACGGCUCUGGUUAAUACCCGGGGCUAAUGACGGUACCGUAAGAAUAAGCACCGGCUAACUACGUG
rnacentral:rRNA from 1 species